ACUCCUACGGGAGGCAGCAGUGGGGAAUAUUGCACAAUGGGGGAAACCCUGAUGCAGCCAUGCCGCGUGUGUGAAGAAGGCCUUCGGGUUGUAAAGCACUUUCAGUAGGGAGGAAAGGGUGGGUCUUAAUACGGCUCAUCUGUGACGUUACCUACAGAAGAAGGACCGGCUAACUCCGUGCCAGCAGCCGCGGUAAUACGGAGGGUCCGAGCGUUAAUCGGAAUUACUGGGCGUAAAGCGUGCGCAGGCGGUUUGUUAAGCGAGAUGUGAAAGCCCUGGGCUCAACCUAGGAAUAGCAUUUCGAACUGGCGAACUAGAGUCUUGUAGAGGGGGGUAGAAUUCCAGGUGUAGCGGUGAAAUGCGUAGAGAUCUGGAGGAAUACCGGUGGCGAAGGCGGCCCCCUGGACAAAGACUGACGCUCAUGCACGAAAGCGUGGGGAGCAAACAGGAUUAGAUACCCUGGUAGUCCACGCCGUACACGAUGUCUACUCGGAGUUUGGUGUCUUGAACACUGGGCUCUCAAGCUAACGCAUUAGGUAGACCGCCUGGGGAGUACGGCCGCAAGGUUAAAACUCAAAUGAAUUGACGGGGGCCCGCACAAGCGGUGGAGCAUGUGGUUUAAUUCGAUGCAACGCGAAGAACCUUACCUACUCUUGACAUCCACAGAAGACUGCAGAGAUGCGGUUGUGCCUUCGGGAACUGUGAGACAGGUGCUGCAUGGCUGUCGUCAGCUCGUGUUGUGAAAUGUUGGGUUAA
rnacentral:rRNA from 1 species